rnacentral:rRNA from 1 species
UACAGGGGGGGCAAGCGUUGUUCGGAAUUACUGGGCGUAAAGGGCUCGUAGGCGGCCGGCUAAGUCCGACGUGAAAUCCCCAGGCUUAACCUGGGAACUGCGUCGGAUACUGGCGGGCUUGAAUCCGGGAGAGGGAUGCGGAAUUCCAGGUGUAGCGGUGAAAUGCGUAGAUAUCUGGAGGAACACCGGUGGCGAAGGCGGCAUCCUGGACCGGCAUUGAUGCUGAAUAGCGAAAGCCAGGGGAGCAAACGGG